GAGGAAUACGACCUAUGAGUGGGAGGUGAAAACUAUUUAUGAUCAUCAUUUUUAAGACCAGCACGCUUGGCCUUCUGUGGCUGACAAGAUCAGCCGCUGUUCUGUUGACCCAAAACGAGCUCUUAGUGACGGCCAAGCACAGAGCUGCUCAGCGAUUAACCUGCCUGUGCAGGCACCUGAGAGGCUGAGCAAAGUCGGACUUCGGUCGCUGUGGUCAUCUGGAUAGCUUCUGGUUCAUGUUCAUGGGCGCAGAUGACUCGGGAAAUGAUACGCGAAUUGAACCUACAAAGUACGGAGUAAAAGGGA
rnacentral:sRNA from 2 species